GAUGAAGAACGCAGCGAAAUGCGAUACUUGGUGUGAAUUGCAGAAUCCCGUGAACCAUCGAGCUUUUGAACGCAAGUUGCGCCCGAAGCCGUUAGGCCGAGGGCACGCCUGCCUGGGUGUCACAUCGUUGCCCCAAUGCCAAUCGCCUCACUUUGUAGGUAUUUGCUUGGGGUGAAUGUUGGCCUCCCGUGAGCUUUGUCUCACGGUUGGUUGAAAAUUGAGUGCAUGGUGUCGGGUGUACCAUGAUGGAUGGUGGUUGAGUGAUGAUGCUCGAGACCAAUCAUGGGUAACUCCACCAGAAUUGGGCUCGGUGACCCACAUGCGUCCCUUGGAUGCUCCCUAAGGAGACCUCAGGUCAGGCGGGGCUACCCGCUGAGUUUAAGCAUAUCAAUAAGCGGAGGA
rnacentral:misc_RNA from 1 species